rnacentral:rRNA from 1 species
GACGAACGCUGGCGGCGUGCUUAACACAUGCAAGUCGAACGGAAAGGCCCAGCUUUCUUGGUACUCUAGUGUCGAACGGGUGUGUAACACGUGUGUGUACUCUGCCUUACUUUUUGAUAUACCUUGAAAACUCUGUCGAAUACCCCAGAUAGCCUUUCAUCCCACGUUGUUUGGUUGGAAGCUUUUGCGGUUGUGGAUGUGCGCGCGGCGUAUCAGCUUGUUGGUGGGGUAUUGGCAUACCAAGGCGCCGACGGGUAGCCGGCCUGAGAGGGUGACCGGCCACAUUGGGACUGAGAGACGGCCCAGACUCCUACGGGAGGCAGCAGUGGGGAAUAUUGCACAAUGGGCGCAAGCCUGAUGCAGCAACGCCGCGUGCGGGAUGACGGCCUUCGGGUUGUAAACCGCUUUCACCUGGGACGAAGCGUGAGUGACGGUAACUGGAGAAGAAGCACCGGCUAACUACGUG